GCCAGCAGCGAUAGCACUUUCAAUACACCAGUUCCCAUUGGAUCACUGAAGUUAAACAACAUUGCGCUUGAUUGGUAUCCGGAUGGGUGACCAUCUGGGCAAUCUCGUUCUGCUGGCU
rnacentral:rRNA from 1 species